UGCCAGCAGCCGCGGUAAGACGAAGGUGGCGAGCGUUAUUCGGAUUUACUGGGCAUAAAGCGCGCGUAGGCGGCUCAGUCAGUCGGAGGUGAAAUCCCGCAGCUUAACUGCGGAACUGCCCCCGAUACUGCUGAGCUUGAGUGCAGGAGGGGUGACCGGAACUCCAGGUGGAGCGGUGAAAUGCGUAGAUAUCUGGAGGAACACCAGAGGCGAAGGCGGGUCACUGGACUGCAACUGACGCUGAGGUGCGAAAGCUAGGGGAGCGAACAGGAUUAGAUA
rnacentral:rRNA from 1 species